CAAUAGCGUAUAUUUAAGUUGUUGCAGUUAAAAAGCUCGUAGUCGGAUUUUGGCUGAGAACGAACGGUCCGCCGUUAGGUGUGCACUGUUUGGUCUCAGCUUCCUGGUGAGGAGGUGUGCUUCACGGCCACUUAGUCACCGUGGUUACUUUGAAAAAAUUAGAGUGUUCAAAGCGGGCUUACGCUUGAAUAUAUUAGCAUGGAAUAACACCAUAGGACUCCUGUCCUAUUUCGUUGGUCUCGGGACGGGAGUAAUGAUUAAGAGGAACAGUUGGGGGCAUUCGUAUUUCAUUGUCAGAGGUGAAAUUCUUGGAUUUAUGAAAGACGAACUUCUGCGAAAGCGUUUGCCAAGGAUGUUUUCAUUGA
rnacentral:rRNA from 1 species